rnacentral:lncRNA from 1 species
GGAUUUGCCCUUCUAUGCAUUGAUGGAGCACCUGCUGCCCACAGCGUCUGUAUUUGGUGCUGGGAUGCUGAGGACACUGAGAUCUUCAAACAGAGGCUGCCACUCUAAGCAAACAGAUCCCGAGCCCUGGACUCUGAAGCUUGGGCCCAGUUCUCCUUUUCUCCGGGUUUCAGAUCCCACUGUGAAGUGAGGGGGCCCUUCUGAUUCAGGACCUGGGGAAGCCAGGGGCAUGAGCAUCGGUGCCUCUUCUCUAUUUCAAGGACCCUUCUGGGUGUAAAGUUCUCUGAGAUGCCUUACAUGGAUUCCAACCACUGCAAGAUAACCAUCGUAUGUAAAGUGUUAUGACCAGCAGAGUGUAAUUGAAGUGCAUUCCAGAGGGAAAGACAGCGGCUCAGGUAGGCCUUGCCAGGCGUUUGGGGUUUCACCCAUGGGAUGCUGCUUGUUUGCUGAUACCACUAAGCAAAUGAACAAUUGCAUUCUCUGAGAGGGAAACAGUCCAGCCAAAAUGGUGCAUGGCUCACCCAGGAUUCACGCCACACCCAGUGUCGCCCCAGCAGCGGGGGGCCUGGGAACCACUUCUGUGU